GGUAGCGAAACCCCAUCAUGCUCUCGCUGUGGCAGUAGGAACACUCGACGGGGUGGAAGACUGUGCGGGAGAAAGAAAUGGCUGUCAUGUCAGCUGCUUCAUUUCCAGGAACCUGGAAGGGAAAUUCUGACAACAGGACUCCGGGAUUGCUGACCCAAAAAAUCAUCACUGUACUUCAGUCCUCCACUGGAUGGACCCAGUUCCUAUUCUUAAAGCAGCUUAGGGAACAAAUGGUGCUCAAUUUAUAAUUUGUAACUUUAGCUCAGUCUGUAUUUGAGUUUCUACAUAGAAAUAGUACAUUAAAAAAUGGCACUAAAUCUGGAA